CCAUGUGAGCCAAUUAAUUUAGAGUUAGCCUCCUAUAAACACGUAACUUUAAUUCUCAAUUAGUUAUUAAGUCAAUUAAUCAAAUUGUUGCGUGGUGCAUUUUUUUCUCUCUCAAUAAUUCUUUGUAGAUUGACUACCUCGAAUAUAUUCAAAUUCCAUGCAAUUUCCAUUCAUCCCCAUUAGGAACCACUAAUUUCCUAACAAGUGGUAUCAAAGCCAUCGAUCUUGAGAUGAUUGAAUCCGUUGCAUUGCAUCAAAGUUACACGGAGUUACCAAAAUCAAAGGUUGAGAUUUUUUUUAUGUGGCUUCUCAAGUCUAUGAUUUCUUUAUUCUUGAUAACACUCUAGUGCAUUUCAAGCCAUCCUUUUAUCAUAUGGAUGUAAAUCAUUUCAGGGGGUUGCAGAUCUCUUAUACUACCUUCGAUCAACAGAAUGGAACGACCAAAAAAGGAAGUGAAGUUAGAAAGCCGUAUGAUAGGUGGUAACUAUCUUGCUAAUUAUGAGUUGGGCGCUUUAACCACUCAGACAUGGAUGCUUAGCGGGAAUCCUCUUACAUGGUGAAUAACCAAAUUCCAAUUGAAAUGAAAUCCUUAGGAUAAAUCAAUGCAAUUUAGGAAUACUCAAUGAAAGGACAUCAAUUCAAAUCUUGGAUUUUUGAUUCCUCUUAUCACAUGGAGGGAAAGGUGUAGAAAUGGAUUCAAGAAGUGGAGGCAUUGGGAUUUUGCAUCAAUUGGAUGGAGUUUUAUGUAGCCUACAAGAUUGGUUUCAAACACCGAUCCUUAAUGCACCAAUGGAGAGGCUACCACUGAACAACCCACUGCUUGACUGGUCAUUGACGUUAGCCAAACUCAUGCUUCACUAAAUGGGGCUACUCAUGUAAAUAAGGAUGAAGACAUGGAACAAACAGACAUGCACGUUGGUGGCACACAAUUGACUGUUAGCGUGGUGGUCUAGGAUUUAUAUCAAGUAACUCCUGAUUGCUUCCUAGAGCUGUCUUGGGGUGUCCGAGUGCUGUUGGAGUAUGUAAGUUUCACAGAUUGUUAUUGCAGGAAGUUUGUAUACAUGUGCAGAUGUGUGCUUCACGGUUGAAGAUGCAAUCACCACUCAGCGAGCUAAGGACUUCUUAAUUGGUUGGUAUGUGGAUUCCUUGAUUUAUGGAGACUAUCCUGAUGUAAUAAAAUAAUCGUUGGCUCAAGAAUUCCAGUCUUCAACAAUCUUGAAUUAAAUCAGGUUAAGGGUUCAUUUGACUUCGUAGGAGCAUAUUACUACAGCUCAUUGUAUGCAAAGGAUGACUCCAGAAAACUAAACAAGGAAGGCAGAAGCUUAGAUGCAAAUAUGGCAAUUAAAUUUGAUUUCCAUUCAAAAUGAUACAUCUUUACUUGAUUAUCUAAUUAUGCAGUGGGCUUUGCAUGAAGCCAUGAACUGAUGGUUUAUUUCAAGCAAGUUUAUGGAAAUCCUCUUAUUCACAUUGAUUAGAAUGGACAGCGAACACGUUGCAAUUCGUCAUUGGAAGAUGAGCUAAGGGUUCAAGAUUAUGUUUGGUUCCAACUUAAGAAGAAGCAAUGUGUGAGUAGGAUGGUCAAGAUGUCAUUGGAAUAUUGGAAGAUGAGCUAAGGGUUCAAAAUGAUGUUUGGUGCCAACUUAAGAAGAAGCAAUGUGUGAAUACGAUGGUCAAGAUGUCCUUGGAAUAUUGGUUUAGUGGCCGGCCACCCCCUCAUGAAGAUGCCACUCAAUAACACCACUUUCUAAGAUGAGAUGAAGCAGUUGGCGAAGAGUGUGAGGAUGUCUAUCUAUGUAACAAACACAGCUAAUAUCGUUCUCUUUGCAGCAAAGGUUUUUGCUUCUAUUGAGAGCAAAUCAUUGGCGGUUAUUGCCUCAAUCUUGGCUCACUCUUUGAUCUCUUGUGGGGAUUUAUAUUGUGGUUUACAUCUCAUGCUAUGCAAAACCCAAACCAGCAUCGGUAUCCAAUUGGAAAGAAACGGAUGCAGCCAGUGGGAAUCAUUAUUUUUGGGUCUUUCGGAUUACAAGUACUGUUGCAGGCGGCUCAACAGUUCAUUACAAAGUCUGUGCCUGAAAAGGAUCCUCAGAAGGAGAAAUGGAUAAUUGGAAUAAUGACAUCUGUAACUUUGGUGAAGUUUAUGCUCGCGGUCUAUUGUCGAAGGUUUAAAGAUAAAUUUGUUAGAGCCUAUGCUGAACAUCAUUUUUCUGAUGUUAAAACCAAUUUUAUCAGUUUGGCAACAGUCGUCCUGGCCAGUCGAUACUAUUGGUGGAUUGAUCCUACUGGAGCUAUUAUAAUACUAUUAUAUACAAUGAAUACAUGGAAGAAGACGUUCUUUGAGAAUUUAUUUGCCCUAAUUGGAAGGACAGACCUGAAUUUUUGGAAAAGCUAACAUAUCUGAUAUGGAACCACCAUGAAGAUAUCAAGAAAAUUGACACAGUAAGAGCAUAGACAUUUGGUUCUGAUCAUUAUUUUGUGGAGGUUGACAUAGUUUUGCCACAAGACAUGGUUCUGAGCAAAACGCAUGACAUUGGUGAGACACUGCAAGAGAAGCUGGAGCAACUCCCUGAAGUUGCGAGAGCUUUUGUGCAUACAGAUUCCAAGUAUACUCACAGGCCUGAACACAAGACCAUGGUUUGAUGACAAAGAUGAUGAUGACAAUUGUAAUGAUCAGAGCUCAGCCUUGCUAGAGCACAAGGGCCUUCACAUGAGUUGCUGAUUUAAUUAAUAUGUGAUGCAAUAUUUUAUUGUAAUGACAAGUAUACAAUUUACCAUCUGAUGGCUUAACUCCACUAAUCAUGAAGUAUCUCUCUUAUUUAUUUAGUUGGCCUGAACACAAGACCACGGUUUUAUGAAGAUGACAAUUGUACUGAUCAGAGCUCAGCCUUCGACAAUGAUGAUGAUGACAAUUGUAAUGAUCGGAGCUCAGCCUUGCCAGAGCACAAGGGCCUUCAAAAUUCAAAUGGGUUGCUGAUGGCUUAACUCCACUAAUCAUGAACUAUCCCUCUUAUUUAUUUGCUAGGCCUGAACACAAGACCACAGUUUGAUGACGAUGACAAUUGUACUGAUCAGAGCUCAGCCUUCAACGAUGAUGAUGAUGGCAAUUGAAAUGUCAGAGCUCAGCCUUGCCAGAGCACAAGGGCCUUCAAAAUUCAAAUGGGUUGCUGAUUUAGUUAACAUGUGAUGCAAUAUUUUUGUGAUGACAAGUACAAAAUUUACCAUCUGAUGGCUUAACUCCACUAAUCAUGAAGUAUCCCUCUUAUUUAUUUAGUAGAUGGAGAUUCAUUAAACAGUUGAUUUUGUCCUUAAUAUGCAACCAUUUUGUAAUGACAAGUACAAAAUUUGUCAUUUAUUUUUCUUGUCAAUUUAAUUAUGAAAGUUAUGGAAGCAAUAACCUCUAGCUUUACUUGAGGCAUUUUCUUUACUAUGGUGUCACUACUGAUUCUCCACUUGUGGCUGC